CAUAAUAGCAGUGAAGGGCUGUCCCUUUGUCUACCUGAGGAACUGUAUAUUUUGUCCGCUUUUAUUGUCUGUCAUGUUCAUAGUGUAGUCUGAUCUAUGUACAUAAUGCAUGCAGUACAUACCUGCGAAGUUCGUUCGUGAGCUGAGCCUGGGCCUGCCUGUGAUUUGAAUUGGAUUGGGAUCAAGGGAAGACAUCUUCAAAGGGCGAAACAUCUAUUAUCUUGUAAUAGAAGGAUCUGUCGUCAAUGAUGGAAUAGCCACAUUCCGGGAAGCAGUGAUCACACUGUUCUGCUGUUUCUACGCUCUUUCCCUAGAGUACCCACCAGAGGGAUCAGUCACUAUGGAGUUCAUCCAAAGGGAACUCAUUGGCAUCAGUCCUGGGGGUCCAGUAAAGAGUGGAGGAAAGAAGAAGAAGAAAUCGGCCGUGUCUCCAAAGAUAAUUGCCCUCCUUCGUGGAAUCGUAGAGUUCGAAUCUGACUGGAAAACAGAGUAGCAGACAUCCAGCUCUCAUUUUUUAUGCUUCUGUCAAUUUGUUUUGAGAUGUGCUUUAUUAUGCACGAUUUUUAUUGUGACGAAUACAUGGAUGAGACAAUGUGAUGUAAGAAACCUGUAAAUUUCUAUUAUUUGUGCCUCAUCUUGAAAGCCUUUUCUCAACAUCCCCAACAUAAUGCAAAUAAAAUAUAUAUAAGUAUUAGUAUAGUAUAGGAUGUAUGCAUCCAGAUGUGAAAGGCUUUGAUUUUUGGAAAGAGCCAAGAUAGUCCUUGCCAAGGAACAAAGUGAGUUUUUUAGAUUUUGUUGGUAAUGUAAGAAAACCUCAGCAGGUCCUAUUUAUAAUUUUAUACCUAUAUAAUUUGUAUAUUUGUUCUUUUGAAGGUUGUUUAUAGUGUUUUCUUGAUGAUAUAUGCUACAGUAUGCAAACAUUAUACCAUGUUGGUGUUUACCCUGGUCAACUUUAUAUACAGGGUGUCCCAUGAACAAUGCCUGACACACUUCUGAUAGCACACAGAUCAACUUAUUAAUACCAUUGGUAAGAGCAACAUUUCCUUAAGGCCCUGUCACAUUAGGCUUGCAUGUGACUUGCAAGGAAAUUUGUUUUGCUACCCAGGGGUCUGCGAUACUGCGAUACAACAAUAUUACAUUUUGAAAUAGUUGAGAAGAGGAUCGGUUGAAAAAUACAAAUUUUUGAGGUGCUGAGUAUGUACUAAUUUGUGUUUUCAAAGGUUGGCAGCUAUGCUAUGUACAUCAUCUUCAUCU